ensembl:lncRNA
CUUAGAGAUAUUUAAUAAAAGCCCAUUAUUUUACAGAAUUAGACCUAAAGCAAAGUUAGACCCAGAGAAACUAACACCCCAAAAUGACAUGGUUAAUGGUAGAAUAGAAUAUUCAGGCUUGUUUUUUUUUUUUCCUGGAACAGCAGUUUUUCUACAACCAUCUCUCCCUCUCCCCUUCUUCUCCCCCACUAUCCGCCCCCCAUCUUUUGACAUCCCUGUUGGAAGUUCCAAAAUGAACUUAUUUACAAUUAAAUGAAUGUAUGUAAUACAUUUAGAAAAUUUCAAUUUUUAUUCAGUCAAUACACUAAGUGUGUUCCAGAUUUCAAGAGACAGGCCCACUUUUAAGUUAAUUGAUCUAUAAUUUGGUAAGGCUGUUUCUAAAGGUUUAAAGGAUAUUUUAAAGAAUUUCAGAUUCUUUUCUGUAGAAUUGGGUAUUCUGCAUAAGUUUAAUUGAUUGUAUCCUGAGGUUAUACCCAUCAUUUAGUUUUUCCUUGUCCUUUUGAAAAUAUUUCAGUUAAAUAUGAAAGCUAACAUAUUGUUUUCAUAGAUAUUUUCCACUAAAUCACUUAUAUCCUGAUUCUUUUCUUAACAAAAUGGGUUUUCAUGGUUGUUGUUUUUUAACUGUUCUCUGUUACAAUACAGUUAACAGAAUUCCCAGCUCCACAAAGGCUGCUGAUUAAAACACUCUUGACUUCUCAUUUCUUCCAAGCAAGCCCCAGUCACAGAUUUUUAUAAGUAAGAAUACACACACACACACACACACACACACACACACACACACACACACACACCACAUUUAACUCAUUUAAAUUGAGUUGAUUUUUACAGACUUUCAAUUUCAUAAAAUUCAUAAAAUAGAGAAUUCCAUAUGAGUUCCUCCCUGGCCUGCUCUACCUUGCUCCCAGGGCUGGCCUCUGGGUUUCUCAGGAGGCUCCCCCUGUUAUCCCACUCUAAUCCCAAGUACUAGAAUUCCUACUUUUAACUCUGACUGAAGAUAAUCAGCCUGAGCCUAGUUGAACUCUUGUCAGAUGUUAUAAAGGGAUUUCACAUUAGGUAGAAUCUAGACUUCCUUUUUAAUUCUAAGAUUUUGUGAUUCUGAAAUUUUGUGCUGUUAUUCAAACUUAACUUUUUUAUUCAGUCAAUACACAUGCACAGAACAUGAGAGGCACUUAGGAUACAAACAGAAAAAUGAAAGAAGUCUCUGCAGCUAGGUGGGAACUAGAUGAAGUGAUUAGAAUCUUUCUGAUCUGAGUUUAUUUUUGGCCUCAAAUUCUGUGUAAUCUUGGACAGUCAUUUAACUUGUGUCUGCCUCAGUUUUCCCAUCUCUGAAAUGGGAGCAAUAAUAGCCCCUAUUUCACAAGGUUAUUGUGAGGAACAAAUGAGAUAAUAUUUGUAAAGUAAGAGCAAUUCUAAUAGACUUGGGAUGGGAAAUACCAUUUGCAUCCAGAAAGAAAACUGUGGGGAGUGAAUAUAGUUCAAAGGAUAGUAUUUUUACUUUGGGUUGUUUUUCUUGUUUUUUUUUUUUCUCUUUCGGGUCUGAUUUGGUCUGGUCUGAUUUUUUCUCACCCAACAUGAUAAAAAGAAUUGUACAUAUUUAACUUAUAUGACAUUCUUUACUGUACUGGAGAGAAGGAGAUAAUGGAGGGAGAAAAAUUUGGAACACAAAAUCUUACAAAAACAAAUGUUGAAAAUUAUCUUUACAUAUAUUUGGA